rnacentral:rRNA from 1 species
UACGUAGGGUGCAAGCGUUAAUCGGAAUUACUGGGCGUAAAGCGUGCGCAGGCGGUUAUGUAAGACAGAUGUGAAAUGCCCGGGCUUAACCUGGGAACUGCAUUUGUGACUGCAUGGCUAGAGUUGGCAGAGGGGGGUAGAAUUCCACGUGUAGCAGUGAAAUGCGUAGAUAUGUGGAGGAACACCGAUGGCGAAGGCAGCCCCUGGGUCAAGACUGACGCUCAUGC